rnacentral:rRNA from 1 species
AGUGAACGCUGGCGGUAGGCCUAACACAUGCAAGUCGAACGGCAGCUCAGUAAGAGCUUGCUCUUACGGGUGGCGAGUGGCGGACGGGUGAGGAAUACAUCGGAAUCUACUUUUUCGUGGGGGAUAACGUAGGGAAACUUACGCUAAUACCGCAUACGACCUACGGGUGAAAGCAGGGGAUCUUCGGACCUUGCGCGAUUGAAUGAGCCGAUGUCGGAUUAGCUAGUUGGCGGGGUAAAGGCCCACCAAGGCGACGAUCCGUAGCUGGUCUGAGAGGAUGAUCAGACACACUGGAACUGAGACACGGUCCAGACUCCUACGGGAGGCAGCAGUGGGGAAUAUUGGACAAUGGGCGCAAGCCUGAUCCAGCCAUACCGCGUGGGUGAAGAAGGCCUUCGGGUUGUAAAGCCCUUUUGUUGGGAAAGAAAAGCAGCAGGUUAAUACCCCGCUGUUCUGACGGUACCCAAAGAAUAAGCACCGGCUAACUUCGUG